rnacentral:rRNA from 1 species
UGUUGGCCGGUAUGAAUGGCAGUCACGAAGGCCCCACUGUCUUAAGAGGACUCUCCAUGAAAUUGAAUUCGUAGUGAAGAUGCUACGUCCAUAUUGUAAGACGAAAAGACCCCAUUGAGCUUUACUAAAGACUUGUAUGGCUCGAAAUAACUUAAAUAAAAAGUUUAGAUAAUGUGGGAUCCGUUUUUGGUUAAUGAAACACCACUCUUUUAUUUUAAGAGAGCUAACAUUACAGGGAUAAUGCAGGUUGGAUAGUUUGGUUGGGGCGACCACCUUUUAAAAGGUAACGAAGGUGAGCUUAAGGUCCGUAGUUAAUAGCUGGUGCCGUGACUGCAAGGGGGACGUCCCGAGCAGACACGUCCUUAGGGAUGUGGC